UAUUAAGUGGCUGAGUUUUAAGCACUAGACUUUUAAUCUAGAUAACGAUUAAUAUAAUAAUCCUUAAUAA
rnacentral:tRNA from 1 species